rnacentral:misc_RNA from 1 species
GAUGAAGAACGCAGCGAAAUGCGAUACUUGGUGUGAAUUGCAGAAUCCCGUGAACCAUCGAGUCUUUGAACGCAAGUUGCGCCUCAAGCCAUUAGGUUGAGGGCACGUCUGCCUGGGCGUCACAUAUCGUUGCCUGAUGCCAGUUUCCUCGUGAUGGGUGACUGUGCAGGGCGAAUGAUGGCUUCCCGUGAGCAUUGUUGCCUCAUGGUUGGUUGAAAAUUGAGUCCUUGGUAGGGAGCGCCGUGAUAGAUGGUGGUUGAGUGACGAACGAGACCCAAUCAUGUGAGACCCCUACCGAAUUUGGCCUUCAUGACCCACAUGCGUCUUUGGAACGCUCAUGACGAGACCUCAGGUCAGGCGGGGCUACCCGUUGAGUUUAAGCAUAUCAAUAAGCGGAGGA